rnacentral:rRNA from 1 species
GACGAACGCUGGCGGCGUGCUUAACACAUGCAAGUCGAACGCACGGCCUUGGGGUUUUCUUGGGGUUGGUGAGUGGCGAACGGGUGAGUAACACGUGAGUAACCUGCCCUCUUCUUUGGGAUAACGGUCGGAAACGGCUGCUAAUACUGGAUAUUCACACAUUGUCGCAUGGUGGUGUGUGGAAAGGGUUUUCUGGUGGGGAUGGGCUCGCGGCCUAUCAGCUUGUUGGUGGGGUGAUGGCUUACCAAGGCUUUGACGGGUAACCGGCCUGAGAGGGUGACCGGUCACAUUGGGACUGAGAUACGGCCCAG